UUACGGUCAAAUCACGCUGAAACACCGGUUCUCAUACGAUCACCGAAGUUAAGCAUCGUAGAGCCAUCAGUACUUAGAUGGGGGACCACUUGGGAACACCUGGUACUGUAAG
rnacentral:rRNA from 1 species